rnacentral:rRNA from 1 species
AGUGAACGCUGGCGGUAGGCCUAACACAUGCAAGUCGAACGGCAGCACAGUAAGAGCUUGCUCUUACGGGUGUCGAGUGGCGGACGGGUGAGGAAUACAUCGGAAUCUACUUUUUCGUGGGGGAUAACGUAGGGAAACUUACUCUAAUACCGCAUACGACCUACGGGUGAAAGCAGGGGAUCUUCUGACCUUGCGCGAUUGAAUGAGCCGAUGUCGAAUUAGCUAGUUGGCGGGGUAAAGGCCCACCAAGGCGACGAUCCGUAGCUGGUCUGAGAGGAUGAUCAGCCACACUGGAACUGAGACACGGUACAGACUCCUACGGGAGGCAGCAGUGGGGAAUAUUGGACGAUGGGCGAAAGCCUGAUCCAGCCAUACCGCGUGGGUGAAGAAGGCCUUCGGGUUGUAAAGCCAUUUUGUUGGGAAAGAAAAGCAGCAGGUUAAUACCCCGCUGUUCCGACGGUACCCAAAGAAUAAGCACCGGCUAACUUCGUG